CCUGGCUCAGGAUGAACGCUAGCGGCAGGCUUAACACGAUGCAAGUCGAGGGGCAGCACGAGGUAGCAAUACUUUGGUGGCGACCGGCGCAAGGGUGCGUAACGCGUGAGCAACAUGCCCGCAACAGAGGGGAUAAACCGGUGGAAAACGCCGACUAAUACCUCAUAAGGAUGUAGGACGGCAUCGUCCAGCAUCUAAACUUACGAGGGUUGCGGAUUGGCUCGCGAGACAUUAGGUAGACGGCGGGGUAACGGCCCACCGUGCCGACGAUGUCUAGGGGUUCUGAGAGGAAGGUCCCCACACUGGAACUGAGACACGGUCCAGACUCCUACGGAGGCAGCAGUGAGGAAUAUUGGACAAUGGUCGGAAGACUGAUCCAGCCAUGCCGCGUGAAGGAAGACGGUCCUAUGGAUUGUAAACUUCUUUUGUACGAGAGCAAUAAGGUGUACGCGUACACCGAUGAGAGUAUCGUACGAAUAAGCAUCGGCUAACUCCGUGCC
rnacentral:rRNA from 1 species